UGCCCAAGCCAUUCUCGACAGUUACGCGGCACCUACAUAUUAUGAAAGGAAGGGAAUAAGAAAGGCCUUUCCACGAGCCAUUUCCAUGCCGGUAGAUUCCCCCAUAUUCUGAAAGGAAGGGAAGUUGUCGAAAUGUUGUGGAGGAGUCUGGGUUUCGCUUGAGAUGAAAUGUUGUUGCUCGGUGAGACGGCAAACUGAUGGAGAUUGUUGUGGCGGUUAUGGUACUUGCUGGUUCAGGGGUUUGGGCUGGGUUAGAGAUGGAGGAAAUCCGGUUUGAAGCUCUGAUGUGGAAGUGAAAAAAGGCUUAUGGAUGAGGAUUGUUGUGAUGUGGUGGAGUUUGGAGUUUUAGAAAUCAAGCGGCUUCGAGAAUGGAUUGUUGGUGGAUUUGGAGAGCAGAAAGACAGGGGACACCAGGGAGACCGAGUUAGAUUUUGAUGACUUGAGGACAGAAAAUUGAGUGUGGAUGCAGAAAUAUGGGGAGAAAAUCAUCGGAGACUCGUCUAGUAGUUGAGCGUUAACAAAAAUUCAAAUACAGCUUUAGCAAGGAAGUGCAAGAAGUCAGCUUCUCUUGAUUCUGAUUUCAUAGCUUCGUCAGGAAGAGUAGAGAAGGAAACUCUAAAAUUGAGGGAAUCUCAUCACUGGCUAGGAGAGUCAUCUUAGUUCAUUUGCUGAUGCUCUACCACAUCUCAACCGUUGAAUGCUCUACCACAUCUCAACCGUUGAACUCCAAAUUUUUCAUUCACGAUGACUACCUUUUUCACAUGAAUAAGUUAUGUAUCCCUCAAUACUCAUUACGAUUACAACUUAUCGCAAAGCUCCAUGGUGAGAAAUGUCGGGACAUCGUGGGCAGGACAAGACGUAUUCCUUGAUGGAUGAACGCUACUAUUGGCUUAAGAUGAGGAAGGAUGUUGUUAAGUUUGUUCAAUCUUGCUGUACUUGCCAAAUUGCAAAGGGGCAUAGUCAAAAUAGUGGGUUGUAUACUCCUCUAUCUAUUCUGAACACAGGCCCUGAGAGCAUGUUUCUAUGGAUUUCAUUGUUGGACUUUCCACGGCAGUUUGUAGAGUAGAUUCAAUCAUGGUGGUUGUAGACAGAUUCUCGAAAAUGGCCGUUUUCAGUGGAUGACAGAUGCAUCAUUGGUUGUCGUUUACUAUUUCAAAGAUGUGGCACGGUUUCAUGGACUUCUUCGUUCAAUCACAUCAUAUUGAGAUACGAGGUUCUUGAAUCAUUUUUGGUGUUCACUAGGGUCUAGUAAAUACUAAACUUCAGUUUAGUGCUUACCACCCUUAGACCGAUGGCCAAACCGAGGUAGUCAAUAGAAUUCUAGGAAACUUAGGUGUCUCGUAGGAGAGAAUACAAAAACUUGAGACUUAGUGCUACCACAAGUAGGGGUGAACAACGAGCCGAGUAACUCGAACUCGGCUCGUUAAAGCUCGGCUCGAAUGCAAGUUCGAGCCAGCUUUUCUACUCAACGAGCCAAGUUCGAGUUAAUUGUUCGGCUCAUACAUUUUAUCGAGCCGAGCUCGAGUUCGUUUUACGAAACUCGCUUAACCCAACUCGGCUCGAUAGCUUGGAUAUUUAUGUGUUUCGUCAUCGAUUCAUUUUUUCGUCUUUUUUUCUCUCAUGCUCGUCCUCGAGGCUCUGUGUCUGCCGCUGCCCUUGGUACACCCUCUCUCUAUCUACCGUGUUCUUCUAUUUCUUCUUCUUCCUCCUCUUCUCCCACCCAGAGAUGGUCGUUACUUCUUCUUCCUCCUCCUCUUCUCCCACCCAGAGACGUUGCUACUUCUUCUUCCUCCUCUUCUCCCACCCAGAGACAUUGCUACUUCUUCUUCCUCCUCCUCUUCUCCCACCCAAAGAUGGUCGCCGGAGUCAAACAUCUCCUUCCAUCUCCUUCCCAUCCCAAACCUUAACCCUACUCCCAGCCAUCACCGCAAGCUCUCCACUGUCUGAUCCUUCCCUCCGGCCACCAUCGCUAACCUCGGCCCCAUCCUCCUUCGAUUAGCACCGACAUCCGGCGAUUGGUGGAACGACUGAUGGCAACCAAUGAACUACCUUCUGCUACUGGCCUCUUCUUCCCCCUUCCACAGUAGCAUCUGCUAUUGCCGUCUUCUUCCCCCUUUCACUUCCACAGCAGAAGCAUCUGGAACUACUGCCAUCUUCUUCCCCCUUCGACUUUCACAGCAGAAGCAUCUGGAACUACUGUUGUUCUCCCUUCCACAGUAGAAGUAUAUGGAAGACUGGAACAAACAAAUAAUCGAGUUAAACGAGUCGGUCGAGUCAAUCUCGAGCUCGAACACAAUCAAUCGAGUCAAGCUCGAGCUACCAUUGUAAAGCUCGACUCGAGUUCGAGCCGAGCUCGAGCUGACCAAAACAAGAGUCGAGCCGAGCUCGAGCUGACUGAGCUCGGGCUCCACUCGGCUCGUGUUCAGCCCUAACCACAAGCUGAGUUUGCAUAUAAUAACUCAGUCAAUCGUUCCACUGGGAAGACUCCUUUUCAAGUAGUAUAUGGUCGGUCUCUGAACCAUGUUGUUGACUUGUCCCUAGUACCUGGUGCUGGAGAACAUGCUCCGGCGACACGUGUUGCUAUUGAAUAUAUGUGUGAUGUCUAUAGUCAAGUGAAACUGAAGUUCCAAGAGAGGUAUGAAACCUACAAGUCCCUUGUUGAUCGGAGUCGUCUAGAUGUCAACUUUGAGGUAGGUCAACAAGUUUGGGUCUACCUACGACCUGAGCGUUGUCCUGUUGGUACUUAUAGUAAGUUAAGUCCUACGAAAUAUGACCUUUUCCACAUCAGUCGUCGUCUAGGAACAAAUGCUUAUCUGUUUGAGCUUCCUGAGGAUUGGCAAAUUUCGCCGAUCUUCAAUGUUUCUGGUCUGUUUCCCUACUCUGGUGACAUUGAUUCGUUAAAGACGACUUUUUUCCAACCAAGGGAGAAUGAUGCAGAGCAGGACCAGACACGUCACUCUCCUGGUUCCAAUUCCCCACCUCAGGUCCCACCUUUGGGCAUCAGUGUAGAUCAUGAAUCUUUAGUCGUGGAAUUCCACGCGGACCCGGAGCAUAGUUGAGAGGAAGUGCCCCUGCGUAGAUACUCGAGGCGCACCAAGGGUUGAAUUCAUCUCAGCUACUAGUGUCACCAACUUUGUGUCUAUUAAAUUGGAUGGGUGAACUCCAAGGGCUGGUGGAAUCAGUAGAAUCAGAUGGAAAUGGAGCCCAAUCAUCUACAAGCAGUGUCGUGUUAGAACUGAUGCCCAUCAAGGAUAUUUUGCUGAAUUAUAGUGCACAUUGCACAUCAUGGUUAUUUUUGGUGAAUUCGCCGAUGGACGUGAACAUAAUGAAUGAAGUUUUUGAGCGGAGGAAGACACAAAGGUGGAGAAGACAUUGAAUCAAUAUCAUCAAUCUUUGAUCAAUCAAAUAAAAAUUUCUUUUGAAAACUAGACACUGGAUAAACAUGUGUAUAAUUUUUUCUGAUUUGUAUAAUUUUGUACUUUUUUAAUGAAAUUUCUAUUGUGAAAAUUUCUUUUCAA